rfam:Gallus gallus isolate RJF #256 breed Red Jungle fowl, inbred line TCD001 chromosome Z, whole genome shotgun sequence.
AUGCAUGCUGGCUAUAAUUUAUGAAACGGAGCCCAGGAAACAACCAAUCAGUUAGCUCCUCCUAACAAGUCCAACUGGCUACGAAAAGCUGGAAGUGCGGCGCAGAACAAUGAAGAGGAGCUAUCCCACAUAUUAAUCUGCUUAUCUGGGAUUGCUUUCUGUGUGGAGAAGGAAACAUGAAACAAGGAGGGAAAAGGAAAAUCACAGCUCCACAGUUGAAAUAAACAGGAUAAAUUUCAAUCAACAGGCAAAUCCUCCAUUGUAUUCAGAUGCC